AGGGACGAAAGGGUGGACAAGGCUGUCAGAAGCGCCGAACAACCUGGACCAGACUGGCAGACACGUGACGUCAGAGUAAUUGGAUCAUGCGAUAAUUACUUGGUGGAAAUAUAUGUCUUGCGACACAUCAGAUCUCCAGUCAGAAGAGGAGGCAAUUCCUAAAAAGAGGAAGCCAAUGCCGGUCCAUUUCUAUGGAGACUCGGAUGGAGACAGUGAAAAUGAAAAUUCCCCCCACAAAACAGGGGUCCAACCACUAGCGGGACAGUUGUCCCUCCAAUCAUUGCCUCCUCCUAACUAUUCCAUGUACUCCAUCACCAGCAGGACAGCGAACACGCCAGGGGGACACGCCCACCUGGCGAGGGGCGUGGUGUGGUUCAGACACCAUUGCCUGCUGUGCUGUUCCAGUUCAAAUCCUAGGCAUGCUGGAGACAAUUACAGAGGUGAGAGACCCGGUUCCGUUUCCGUGUACCACAAUGGAGGAAGUGGA